UGGGGAAUAUUGCACAAUGGGGGAAACCCUGAUGCAGCAACGCCGCGUGAGUGAUGACGGUCUUCGGAUUGUAAAGCUCUGUCUUCAGGGACGAUAAUGACGGUACCUGAGGAGGAAGCCACGGCUAACUACGUGCCAGCAGCCGCGGUAAUACGUAGGUGGCAAGCGUUGUCCGGAUUUACUGGGCGUAACGGGAGCGUAGGUGGAUAUUUAAGUGGGAUGUGAAAUACUCGGGCUUAACCUGGGUGCUGCAUUCCAAACUGGAUAUCUAGAGUGCAGGAGAGGAAAGUAGAAUUCCUAGUGUAGCGGUGAAAUGCGUAGAGAUUAGGAAGAAUACCAGUGGCGAAGGCGACUUUCUGGACUGUAACUGACACUGAGGCUCGAAAGCGUGGGGAGCAAACA
rnacentral:rRNA from 1 species